rnacentral:rRNA from 1 species
CAGCUUGCUGGGGGUGGAUGAGUGGCGAACGGGUGAGUAACACGUGAGUAACCUGCCCCGAACUCUGGGAUAAGCGCUGGAAACGGCGUCUAAUACUGGAUAUGUCCUAUCACCGCAUGGUGUGUAGGUGGAAAGAAUUUCGGUUCGGGAUGGACUCGCGGCCUAUCAGCUAGAUGGUGAGGUAAUGGCUCACCAUGGCGACGACGGGUAGCCGGCCUGAGAGGGUGACCGGCCACACUGGGACUGAGACACGGCCCAGACUCCUACGGGAGGCAGCAGUGGGGAAUAUUGCACAAUGGGCGCAAGCCUGAUGCAGCAACGCCGCGUGAGGGAUGACGGCCUUCGGGUUGUAAACCUCUUUUAGUAGGGAAGAAGCGAAAGUGACGGUACCUGCAGAAAAAGCACCGGCUAACUACGUGCCAGCAGCCGCGGUAAUACGUAGGGUGCAAGCGUUGUCCGGAAUUAUUGGGCGUAAAGAGCUCGUAGGCGGCUUGUCGCGUCUGCUGUGAAAACCAGAGGCUCAACCUCUGGCCUGCAGUGGGUACGGGCAAGCUAGAGUGCGGUAGGGGAGAUUGGAAUUCCUGGUGUAGCGGUGGAAUGCGCAGAUAUCAGGAGGAACACCGAUGGCGAAGGCAGAUCUCUGGGCCGUAACUGACGCUGAGGAGCGAAAGCAUGGGGAGCGAACAGGAUUAGAUACCCUGGUAGUCCAUGCCGUAAACGUUGGGAACUAGAUGUAGGGCCUGUUCCACGGGUUCUGUGUCGUAGCUAACGCAUUAAGUUCCCCGCCUGGGGAGUACGGCCGCA